GACUUAAAAAAUCCGUCGACUUUAAAAAUCGUGAGGGUUCAAGUCCCUCUAUCCCCA
rnacentral:tRNA from 9 species